CAUCUUUCGGGAUGAAUGAGAGUGGCGCACGGGUGCGUAACGCGUAUGCAACCUACCUGUUACAGGGAGAUAGCCCGGGGAAACCCGGAUUAAUAUCCCAUAGGAUAUAUUAACUGCAUGGUUUAUAUAUUAAAGCCUUCSGGUGGUAACAGACGGGCAUGCGUAGGAUUAGCUAGUUGGAGAGGUAACGGCUCACCAAGGCGACGAUCCUUAGGGGUUCUGAGAGGAAGGUCCCCCACACUGGCACUGAGAUACGGGCCAGACUCCUACGGGAGGCAGCAGUAGGGAAUAUUGGUCAAUGGGCGAGAGCCUGAACCAGCCAUGCCGCGUGCAGGAAGACGGCGUUCUGCGUUGUAAACUGCUUUUAUCUGGGAAGAAAAAGCCCUUGCGAGGGAAAUUGCCGGUACCAGAAGAAUAAGCACCGGCUAACUCCGUGCCAGCAGCCGCGGUAAUACGGAGGGUGCAAGCGUUGUCCGGAUUUAUUGGGUUUAAAGGGUGCGUAGGCGGCUGAUUAAGUCAGCGGUGAAAGUUCUCGGCUCAACCGAGAGACUGCCGUUGAUACUGGUCAGCUUGAGUUAUGGAGGGGUACAUGGAAUUUAUGGUGUAGCGGUGAAAUGCAUAGAUAC
rnacentral:rRNA from 1 species